UGAUUAAAAUUUAAAUUCAACAUAACAUUGAUCAAAAAUCUCAAGAAGCUCGUGAAAGUGGUUCCGCUUCAUGCUUACAAGAAUUCUCUCCUCAAUUUUAUGUUUCUUAUUCACUCCAGAGAGCUGCAUAGACUCGGAAAUUUUUCUUGUUUUGAUGUUUAGUGGAAUUGUGCUUGACAAAUUUUAGAAAACAUCUCCAGUAUGUCAAAGUUGGUGCUUAAUUUAUUUGCUUCCACUGUGAUAUGAUGAUAAUGGGAUGUCGAAAGUAGCUCUGAAUCAUUGUUA
rnacentral:lncRNA from 1 species